GGACUUAAAAUCUGAGGCUUCUCAAGUCAUCAGGUAGCAGUGAAAGCUGCGGGAGAAUGAAAAUCCGUUGACCGUAAAAG
rnacentral:tRNA from 1 species